CACAAGCGGCGACUUACGUACUCUACCGCCUGUGGACUAUGGCAGAGGCUUUCAGAUUAAGCAUACUGGUCGUUUUUACUGUAUUUUGCCUUCUUGUCAAGUUACAAGGAAACAUGCCCGCCUACGUUCUCGCGGGAAACCCAGCGAUUAGUCCCAAGCAUCCUACGCGCAGAGAUACCGUCCCUAAUAGGCAACCGCAAAGGAUCUACUACCGCCCUCCACGACCAACCACAACUAGGAGACGCCCAGCAUGUGGCAAGGGAUAAUUUCACCUGGGACGUCCACUCCACUGCAUGAAUGAAAGAACAAAGUGAUUCAUUCCUGCAAAUUUUUGCUCCGCAACACCAAUAAA